UUGAGGGCCCCGAAGGAACUCCAUAGG
rnacentral:piRNA from 1 species